AGCAGCCGCGGUAAUUCCAGCUCCAAUAGCGUAUAUUAAAGUUGUUGCAGUUAAAAAGCUCGUAGUUGAAUUUCGGGAUUGACACAUCGGUCGUGCCUUAAGGGGUAUGAACUGGUGUAGUCAAUUUCUCACCUUCUGGAGAACCGCGAUGCCCUUAAUUGGGUGUCACGGGGAACCAGGACCUUUACUUUGAAAAAAUUAGAGUGUUUAAAGCAGGCAUUUUGCUUGAAUACAUUAGCAUGGAAUAAUAAAAUAGGACGGCAUGAUUCUAUUUUGUUGGUUUCUAGGAUCACCGUAAUGAUUAAUAGGGAUAGUUGGGGGCAUUAGUAUUCAAUUGUCAGAGGUGAAAUUCUUGGAUUUAUGAAAACUACUACUGCGAAAGCAUUUGACCAAGGAUUGUUUUCAUUAAUACAAGAACGAAAGUUAGGGAUCGAAGACGAUCAGAUACGUCGUAGUCUUAACCAUAAACU
rnacentral:rRNA from 1 species